rnacentral:misc_RNA from 1 species
GAUGAAGAACGCAGUGAAAUGCGAUAAGUAAUGUGAAUUGCAGAAUUCAGUGAAUCAUCGAAUCUUUGAACGCACCUUGCACCCUUUGGCAUUCCGAAGGGUAUGCUCGUUUGAGUGUCAUUGUACUCUCACACUUCUGAUCCUUUGGAUUGGGAGCGGUGGACUUGGGUGUUGCUGCUUUACUGUGGCUCACCUCAAAUGCAUUCGUGCAACUCUUGGUUGGACAUAGUACGGCGUGAUAAGUAUCUUCGCCGGCACCUCGCAAGAGGGUGGCUGAUCAGGAGCUCUGUGCUUUCCAACUGUCUUCAGACAACAACUGACAACUUGACCUCAAAUCGAGUAGGACCACCCGCUGAACUUAAGCAUAUCAAUAAGCGAGGA